UACGUGGGGUGCGAGCGUUGUCCGGAAUUAUUGGGCGUAAAGAGCUCGUAGGCGGUCUGUCGCGUCGAUCGUGAAAACUUGGGGCUUAACCCUGAGCUUGCGGUCGAUACGGGCAUGACUGGAGUUCGGCAGGGGAGACUGGAAUUCCUGGUGUAGCGGUGAAAUGCGCAGAUAUCAGGAGGAACACCGGUGGCGAAGGCGGGUCUCUGGGCCGAUACUGACGCUGAGGAGCGAAAGCGUGGGGAGCGAACAGG
rnacentral:rRNA from 1 species